CAGCCGCCGCGGUAAUACGUAGGGUGCAAGCGUUAAUUGGAAUUACUGGGCGUAAAGCGUGCGCAGGCGGUUAUAUAAGACAGAUGUGAAAUCCCCGGGCUCAACCUGGGAACUGCAUUUGUGACUGUAUAGCUAGAGUACGGCAGAGGGGGAUGGAAUUCCGCGUGUAGCAGUGAAAUGCGUAGAUAUGCGGAGGAACACCGAUGGCGAAGGCAAUCCCCUGGGCCUGUACUGACGCUCAUGCACGAAAGCGUGGGGAGCAAACAGGAUUAGAUACCCGCGUAGUCCCUGUCUCUUAUAC
rnacentral:rRNA from 1 species